rnacentral:rRNA from 1 species
CUAUCACACAAAAGACCACAUCCAUGCAACACCAUACUAUCCAAACUCUACAGCAGAUAACAGCCCACAAUAGCAACCACCGUCACAGUAUGAAAGAACAUCCCACCACACCCAACACAACCACAGUCCACACUCCACGCCACGCCACAGUCACAAACAUUCGUCAAUAGGCGAACACCUGCACCCACACCCCAGAAAACAGGAUGAAGGCCCACUGGGCUGUAAACUCCAAUUAUACGGGGAUAAAGGAACACACCAGUGGACAUAUGCAGGAACCGCAUGAAUAAGGAACGGCUAAUUACGACCAGCAGCCGCGGUAAUACGGAAGGUCCGGGCGAUCUCAGGAUUUAUUGGGUUUACAGGGAGCGUAGGCCGCCGCUUCAGCCUGUUGUGAAAUGCGGGUGCUCAACAUCCGACAUGAAGCGCAAAAUGGGGGGCUUGAGUGCGCCGAAAGUAGGCGGAAUUCGUGGUGUAGCGGUGAAAUGCUUAGAUAUCACGAAGAACUCCGAUUGCGAAGGCAGCUUACUGUAGCGCAACUGACGCUGAUGCUCGAAAGCGUGGGUAUCGAACAGG